rnacentral:rRNA from 1 species
CAGUCGCCACGGUAAUAUGUAGGUGGCAAGCGUUGUCCGGAAUUAUUGGGCGUAAAGGGCUCGCAGGCGGUCUCUUAAGUCUGAUGUGAAAGCCCCCGGCUCAACCGGGGAGGGUCAUUGGAAACUGGGAAACUUGAGUGCAGAAGAGGAGAGUGGAAUGCCACGUGUAGCGGUGAAAUGCGUAGAGAUGUGGAGGAACACCAGUGGCGAAGGCGACUCUCUGGUCCGUAACUGACGCUGAGGAGCGAAAGCGUGGGGAGCGAACAGGAUUAGAUACCCCCGUAGUCCUGUCUCUUAUACA